GCACCCGCGGCGGAUGCUAUAAAGCUCGGAAGAAAUUCAGCGAACGGGGCAUACGGGCGUGAAGCUGUUUUACUGUACGUUCGCUUUGCUUUUCUUCUCAGAAUAGCUCUUUUCCUUUCAGUGCAACGAUGAGGCAACGUUUAAACAUGUCGUCGCGGUGUGCCGGUUGAGAUGCGCUUCAAGAGCAAGGAGCAGACACAAACUGCUUCAGAUGUGACUGUAGAGAUUGCGAACUCUGCAAGUUAUCAUCCUUGGGACAACUCUGGUGUUUUACCAGGGGAUCGGGAAGCGGAAAAGGUCGUUCCAGUCUUCAAAGCAGGUGACAAAGACUUUCCCUUAAACUACCGCCCCAUUUCAUUAACCUUGCGAAAUCAUGGAACAUGUGAUGUAUUCGCAUAUCACAAACUCUUUAGACUCGGUAAACUUCUUUCAUCCUUCUCAACCCGGUUUUCAUAAGGGGCUUUCACCUGAAACACAACUUGUUACUUCAUGAGCUGCACGUUAACCUUGAUAACAACGUUCAAAGCGAUGUCAUCUUUUUAGGCUAUUAUAAAGCUUUGACACAGUGCCUCAUAACCGCUUUCUAAUACAAUUAUGCAGAUUGAACUUAGAUCCUCACAUAAUACAAUAGAUAAAAUAAUUCCUAACUAAUCGUUCCCAGUUCGUCCUUGGUUAUAAGUACUCCACCUAACCCCUCCCUAUCACUUCAGGUGUCCCUCAAGCUCCAAUCUGGGGACCGCCUAUUUUCCUAAUAUACAUUAAAGAUCUUGCGCUGCAUGUAUCUUGUCUUAUUUGCAUGUUCGCUGCAUCUGUCGUUCAGUGACUAACAUCUCUGACCAAGAAUCUCUCCAGAAUUACCUUAAUAACGUGUAAAACUGGUGCAAACGUUGGCAAAUGGCCUUGAACUCUAACAAGUGCAAAUUUAUUUC